CUAUGCGCCUUGCCAGCCCGCUCAGGUGUGCCAGCCGCCGCGGUAAUACGUAGGUGGCGAGCGUUGUCCGGAUUUACUGGGCGUAAAGGGAGCGUAGGCGGACUUUUAAGUGAGAUGUGAAAUACUCGGGCUCAACUUGAGUGCUGCAUUUCAAACUGGAAGUCUAGAGUGCAGGAGAGGAGAAUGGAAUUCUUAGUGUAGCGGUGAAAUGCGUAGAGAUUAGGAAGAACACCAGUGGCGAAGGCGAUUCUCUGGACUGUAACUGACGCUGAGGCACGAAAGUGUGGGGAGCAAACAGG
rnacentral:rRNA from 1 species